UUUUUGAUUAUAAUUUAAAGUAGGGCCUGCCCACUGAAAUUUUUGAAGGGCCGCAGUAUUUUGACUGUGCAAAGGUAGCAUAAUCAUUAGUUUUUUAAUUGAAAGCUGGAAUGAAUGGUUUGAUGAAAAAAUUACUGUCUUAAUAUUAAUUUAAUAGAACUUUAUUUUUAAGUUAAAAAGCUUAAAUAUUUUUAAAAGACGAGAAGACCCUAUAGAGUUUAAUUUUUAAACAAAAUUAAUUUUUUAGAAUUAAAUUAUAUAAUCUUGUUAAAGAAUUAGGUUGGGGUGACAGAAAAAUUAAAUGAACUUUUUUUAAUUUAAAACAUAAAUUUAUGAAUAAAUGAUCCAUUUAAGUGAUUAAAAGAUUAAAUUACCUUAGGGAUAACAGCGUAAUUUUUUUUUAGAGUUCAAAUCGAAAAAAAAGAUUGCGACCUCGAUGUUGGAUUAAAAUAAAUUUUUGGUGUAGAAGCUAAAAAAUUAGGUCUGUUCGACCUUUAAAAUUUUACA
rnacentral:rRNA from 1 species